AACAAACGCUGGCGGCGUGCCUAACACAUGCAAGUCGUACGAGAAAGGGUCCUUCGGGGCCUGAGUAAAGUGGCGCACGGGUGAGUAACGCGUGGAUAAUCUGCCCUUCAGUUGGGAAUAACUCAUCGAAAGGUGGGCUAAUACCGAAUAAUGCUGUGAGACCUCGGUUGAUCAGCCAAAGAGAGCCUCUGCUUGCAAGCCCUCGCUGAAGGAUGAGUCCGCGUACCAUUAGCUAGUUGGUAGGGUAAUGGCCUACCAAGGCGACGAUGGUUAGCUGGUCUGAGAGGAUGAUCAGCACACUGGAACUGAGACACGGUCCAGACUCCUACGGGAGGUAGCAGUGAGGAAGCUUGCGCAAUGGGGGCAACCCUGACGCAGCAACGCCGCGUGAGUGAGGAAGGUCUUCGGAUCGUAAAGCUCUGUCGGAUGGAAAGAACCGCAUAGGGGUAAACAGCCCCUGUGUCUGACGGUACCAUCAAAGGAAGCACCGGCUAACUCCGUGCCAGCAGCCGCCGUAACAC
rnacentral:rRNA from 1 species